GGGUUGUGAGGUUAAGCGACUAAGCGUACACGGUGGAUGCCCUGGCAGUCAGAGGCGAUGAAGGACGUGCUAAUCUGCGAUAAGCGUCGGUGAGGUGAUAUGAACCGUUAUAACCGGCGAUUUCCGAAUGGGGAAACCCAGUGUGUUUCGACACACUAUCAUUAACUGAAUCCAUAGGUUAAUGAGGCGAACCGGGGGAACUGAAACAUCUAAGUACCCCGAGGAAAAGAAAUCAACCGAGAUUCCCCCAGUAGCGGCGAGCGAACGGGGAGGAGCCCAGAGCCUGAAUCAGUGUGUGUGUUAGUGGAAGCGUCUGGAAAGGCGYGCGAUACAGGGUGACAGCCCCGUACACAAAAAUGCACAUAUUGUGAGCUCGAUGAGUAGGGCGGGACACGUGGUAUCCUGUCUGAAUAUGGGGGGACCAUCCUCCAAGGCUAAAUACUCCUGACUGACCGAUAGUGAACCAGUACCGUGAGGGAAAGGCGAAAAGAACCCCGGCGAGGGGAGUGAAAAAGAACCUGAAACCGUGUACGUACAAGCAGUGGGAGCCUCUUAAUGGGGUGACUGCGUACCUUUUGUAUAAUGGGUCAGCGACUUAUAUUCUGUAGCAAGGUUAACCGAAUAGGGGAGCCGAAGGGAAACCGAGUCUUAACUGGGCGUUAAGUUGCAGGGUAUAGACCCGAAACCCGGUGAUCUAGCCAUGGGCAGGUUGAAGGUUGGGUAACACUAACUGGAGGACCGAACCGACUAAUGUUGAAAAAUUAGCGGAUGACUUGUGGCUGGGGGUGAAAGGCCAAUCAAACCGGGAGAUAGCUGGUUCUCCCCGAAAGCUAUUUAGGUAGCGCCUCGUGAAUUCAUCUCCGGGGGUAGAGCACUGUUUCGGCAAGGGGGUCAUCCCGACUUACCAACCCGAUGCAAACUGCGAAUACCGGAGAAUGUUAUCACGGGAGACACACGGCGGGUGCUAACGUCCGUCGUGAAGAGGGAAACAACCCAGACCGCCAGCUAAGGUCCCAAAGUCAUGGUUAAGUGGGAAACGAUGUGGGAAGGCCCAGACAGCCAGGAUGUUGGCUUAGAAGCAGCCAUCAUUUAAAGAAAGCGUAAUAGCUCACUGGUCGAGUCGGCCUGCGCGGAAGAUGUAACGGGGCUAAACCAUGCACCGAAGCUGCGGCAGCGACACUAUGUGUUGUUGGGUAGGGGAGCGUUCUGUAAGCCUGUGAAGGUGGCCUGUGAGGGUUGCUGGAGGUAUCAGAAGUGCGAAUGCUGACAUAAGUAACGAUAAAGCGGGUGAAAAGCCCGCUCGCCGGAAGACCAAGGGUUCCUGUCCAACGUUAAUCGGGGCAGGGUGAGUCGACCCCUAAGGCGAGGCCGAAAGGCGUAGUCGAUGGGAAACAGGUUAAUAUUCCUGUACUUGGUGUUACUGCGAAGGGGGGACGGAGAAGGCUAUGUUGGCCGGGCGACGGUUGUCCCGGUUUAAGCGUGUAGGCUGGUUUUCCAGGCAAAUCCGGAAAACCAAGGCUGAGGCGUGAUGACGAAGCACUACGGUGCUGAAGCGACAAAUGCCCUGCUUCCAGGAAAAGCCUCUAAGCAUCAGGUAACAUCAAAUCGUACCCCAAACCGACACAGGUGGUCAGGUAGAGAAUACCAAGGCGCUUGAGAGAACUCGGGUGAAGGAACUAGGCAAAAUGGUGCCGUAACUUCGGGAGAAGGCACGCUGAUAUGUAGGUGAAGCGACUUGCUCGUGGAGCUGAAAUCAGUCGAAGAUACCAGCUGGCUGCAACUGUUUAUUAAAAACACAGCACUGUGCAAACACGAAAGUGGACGUAUACGGUGUGACGCCUGCCCGGUGCCGGAAGGUUAAUUGAUGGGGUUAGCGGUAACGCGAAGCUCUUGAUCGAAGCCCCGGUAAACGGCGGCCGUAACUAUAACGGUCCUAAGGUAGCGAAAUUCCUUGUCGGGUAAGUUCCGACCUGCACGAAUGGCGUAAUGAUGGCCAGGCUGUCUCCACCCGAGACUCAGUGAAAUUGAACUCGCUGUGAAGAUGCAGUGUACCCGCGGCAAGACGGAAAGACCCCGUGAACCUUUACUAUAGCUUGACACUGAACAUUGAGCCUUGAUGUGUAGGAUAGGUGGGAGGCUUUGAAGUGUGGACGCCAGUCUGCAUGGAGCCGACCUUGAAAUACCACCCUUUAAUGUUUGAUGUUCUAACGUUGGCCCGUAAUCCGGGUUGCGGACAGUGUCUGGUGGGUAGUUUGACUGGGGCGGUCUCCUCCUAAAGAGUAACGGAGGAGCACGAAGGUUGGCUAAUCCUGGUCGGACAUCAGGAGGUUAGUGCAAUGGCAUAAGCCAGCUUGACUGCGAGCGUGACGGCGCGAGCAGGUGCGAAAGCAGGUCAUAGUGAUCCGGUGGUUCUGAAUGGAAGGGCCAUCGCUCAACGGAUAAAAGGUACUCCGGGGAUAACAGGCUGAUACCGCCCAAGAGUUCAUAUCGACGGCGGUGUUUGGCACCUCGAUGUCGGCUCAUCACAUCCUGGGGCUGAAGUAGGUCCCAAGGGUAUGGCUGUUCGCCAUUUAAAGUGGUACGCGAGCUGGGUUUAGAACGUCGUGAGACAGUUCGGUCCCUAUCUGCCGUGGGCGCUGGAGAACUGAGGGGGGCUGCUCCUAGUACGAGAGGACCGGAGUGGACGCAUCACUGGUGUUCGGGUUGUCAUGCCAAUGGCACUGCCCGGUAGCUAAAUGCGGAAGAGAUAAGUGCUGAAAGCAUCUAAGCACGAAACUUGCCCCGAGAUGAGUUCUCCCUGAGACUUAGAGUCUCCUGAAGGAACGUUGAAGACGACGACGUUGAUAGGCCGGGUGUGUAAGCGCAGCGAUGCGUUGAGCUAACCGGUACUAAUGAACCGUGAGGCUUAACCUUACAACGCCGAAG
rnacentral:rRNA from 1 species